rnacentral:tRNA from 1 species
AAGGGAUUAGUUUAAUUAUUAAAACAUUAACUUGUCAAGUUAAAAUUUAUUACUAUAGUAUUCCUUA